CUACGUGCCAGCAGCCGCGGUAAUACGUAGGUGGCAAGCGUUGUCCGGAAUUAUUGGGCGUAAAGCGCGCGCAGGCGGAUUAGUUAGUCUGUCUUAAAAGUUCGGGGCUUAACCCCGUGAUGGGAUGGAAACUGCUGAUCUAGAGUAUCGGAGAGGAAAGUGGAAUUCCUAGUGUAGCGGUGAAAUGCGUAGAUAUUAGGAAGAACACCAGUGGCGAAGGCGACUUUCUGGACGAAAACUGACGCUGAGGCGCGAAAGCCAGGGGAGCGAACGGGAUUAGAUACCCCGGUAGUCCUGGCCGUAAACGAUGGGUACUAGGUGUAGGAGGUAUCGACCCCUUCUGUGCCGGAGUUAACGCAAUAAGUACCCCGCCUGGGGAGUACGACCGCAAGGUUGAAACUCAAAGGAAUUGACGGGGGCCCGCACAAGCGGUGGAGUAUGUGGUUUAAUUCGACGCAACGCGAAGAACCUUACCAGGUCUUGACAUUGAUGGACAGAACUAGAGAUAG
rnacentral:rRNA from 1 species